UACGUAGGUGGCGAGCGUUAUCCGGAAUGAUUGGGCGUAAAGGGUGCGUAGGCGGACUGUUAAGUCAGCGGUAAAAGCCCGGGGCUCAACCCCGGCGAGCCGUUGAAACUGGCUGUCUUGAGAUGUCGAGAGGUAUGCGGAAUGCGCAGUGUAGCGGUGAAAUGCUUAGAUAUUGCGCAGAACUCCGAUUGCGAAGGCAGCAUACCGGCGGCGAUCUGACGCUGAGGCACGAAAGCGUGGGUAUCGAACAGG
rnacentral:rRNA from 1 species